UACGGAGGGUGCAAGCGUUAUCCGGAUUCACUGGGUUUAAAGGGUGCGUAGGCGGGUUGGUAAGUCCGUGGUGAAAUCCCCAAGCUUAACUUGGGAACUGCCGUGGAUACUAUCAAUCUUGAAUGUCGUGGAGGUAAGCGGAAUAUGUCAUGUAGCGGUGAAAUGCUUAGAUAUGACAUAGAACACCAAUUGCGUAGGCAGCUUACUACACGAUCAUUGACGCUGAGGCACGAAAGCGUGGGGAGCAAACAGGAUUAGAAACCCCGGUAGUCC
rnacentral:rRNA from 1 species